rnacentral:misc_RNA from 1 species
GAUGAAGAACGCAGCGAAAUGCGAUAAGUAAUGUGAAUUGCAGAAUUCAGUGAAUCAUCGAAUCUUUGAACGCACAUUGCGCCCGCCAGUAUUCUGGCGGGCAUGCCUGUUCGAGCGUCAUUUCAACCAUCAAGCCCCCGGCUUGUGUUGGGGACCUGCGGCUGCCGCAGGCCCUGAAAACCAGUGGCGGGCUCGCUGUCACACCGAGCGUAGUAGCACAACCUCGCAGUUGGAACUCGGCGGUGGCCAUGCCGUUAAACACCCCACUUCUGAAAGUUGACCUCGGAUCAGGUAGGAAUACCCGCUGAACUUAAGCAUAUCAAUAAGCGGAGGA